UUCGGGACGGUUUGAAGGCAGAAAAAAAAAAUCUUUUAAGUCCUCCUUUCUUUUCUUUCUCGAUCUACUCUUGAUCGCCCACCAAACUAUUGGGUACGAAAAUACAAAAAAAAGAUCCUGCCGAGUUCAAGAAAAUUUAUAGUAUUGUGCACGUCUACAAAUUCAACAGUUUGUUGUAUCUUGGGAAGGGAUCGCCAAAAUCCGGUGCACAUAGGAGGCGAAUCUCUUUCAAAGACAAUGACUACACGCCUCGGACCGAUCUACAGGUAUUAUCUAUUUUAUUCUGGAUCUAAAGAAAACGACAUCAAAGAGGUACGCAUCGGAACCGGUUGUUUUAGUAAUAUUAAAUUAUUUGUGGAUUAUUUGAGUUCUUUGAGUUGCAUGUUUCAAAACUUAACACAGUUCCCUGUUCGAAACAAGUUUCAGCUCCGGAGCCUCUUAUCCACAUCGGCUGGAAAAAGGCUUUAGAUGGGAGGCUAACCUCAAUCGCAGGAUCGCGAAGAUGUGCAAUGAGAUCCAAGCCCAGCAAAGAUGAAAGGUCGAAGCAGAAGAUGAUCUGAAGAUGAUGAACAAGCCUCCUUUCACGAAAGAGAUUAUGAGGAGCUUUUGCCAGGAAGGUUCGAGAUGCUUCAGUUACGAUGGUACCAUGGAACUAAUGGACCAUCUUUCAAAGACUUAAUUUGAAAAGAAUUAGAGAAGGCGAUUAUCAAAGUCCUACAAUGCAAUAACAGAUUCUGUUCAUAAUUACUGUUUAUUCGUGUGAUUUCUAGAAAGAAAAUCAAUAUAUGCAUAUGGACAAAUUGUGGCAUGUA